UAAUAAGUGUUUUAUGGCACUUUUUAAAUCCAUAUCCACCUUGUGUGCAAUAUCGGUCGAUCUUCUUCAUGGAGAUCGACCAAACAUCAACCUUUAUCUUUUAACUCUUUGUCUGAAAAAUAUUAUGAAUAAACAAUUCAAAAUA
rnacentral:misc_RNA from 1 species